GUUGGUGAACCAGCGGAAGGAUCAUUACCGAGUUAGGGUUCGUCCAACGAGCCCGACCUCCCAACCCUUUGUCUAUUUUACCUUGUCGUUGCUUCGGCGGACCGGUCGCGACCAACUGGUCGUGGCCGCCGGGGGUCCACCUCCUGGAGAGCGUCCGCCGAUGGCCCAACCACAAACUCUUGUAUCAAACCAUGUCGUCUGAAUUACUUGAUUAAAAUCAAAAAACAAAACUUUCAACAACGGAUCUCUUGGCUCUC
rnacentral:misc_RNA from 1 species